AGAGUUUGAUCCUGGCUCAGAACGAACGCUGGCGGCGUGGAUAAGACAUGCAAGUCGAACGGGAUCAGUGAGGUAGCAAUACAUCAUUGGUUCAGUGGCGAACGGGUGCGUAACACGUGGAUACAUUCCGGGAAGCGGGGGAUAGCCCAGGGAAACUUGGAUUAAUACCGCAUGUGAUCGAAAGAUCAAAGACGGGGACCGCAAGGCCUGUCACUUCCCGAUUGGUCCGCGGCCUAUCAGCUAGUUGGCGGGGUAAAAGCCCACCAAGGCGACGACGGGUAGCUGGUCCGAGAGGACGACCAGCCACACUGGAACUGAGACACGGUCCAGACACCUACGGGUGGCAGCAGUCGAGAAUCUUUCACAAUGGGGGAAACCCUGAUGGAGCGACGCCGCGUGGAGGAUAAGGUCUUCGGAUUGUAAACUCCUGUCAUGCGUGAACAAGGCAGCCAGGCUAAUAACCUGUGCUGAUUGAUGGUAACGCAAGAGGAAGAGACGGCUAACUCUGUGCCAGCAGCCGCGGUAAUACAGAGGUCUCAAGCGUUGUUCGGAAUCACUGGGCGUAAAGGGUGCGUAGGUGGCGUGGUAAGUCAGAUGUGAAAGCCCGGGGCUCAACCUCGGAACUGCAUCCGAUACUACCAUGCUAGAGUACUGAAGAGGUGACUAGAAUUCUAGGUGUAGCAGUGAAAUGCGUAGAUAUCUAGAGGAAUACCAAAGGCGUAGGCA
rnacentral:rRNA from 1 species